CAGUCGCCACGGUAACACGUAGGGUCCGAGCGUUGUCCGGAAUUAUUGGGCGUAAAGGGCUCGUAGGCGGUUUGUCGCGUCGGGAGUGAAAUCCAGCAGCUUAACUGCUGGCCUGCUUUCGAUACGGGCAGACUUGAGGCAUUCAGGGGAGAACGGAAUUCCUGGUGUAGCGGUGAAAUUCGUAGAUAUUCGCAGGAACACCAGUGGCGAAGGCGGCUAACUGGUCCAUAACUGACGCUGAGACGCGAAAGCUAGGGGAGCGAACGGGAUUAGAUACCCCAGUAGUCCCUGUCUCUUAUAA
rnacentral:rRNA from 1 species